rnacentral:lncRNA from 1 species
GUGGGCUAGCGGGAGAGGAGCGCGGGUUCUGCCUUGGCAGCCUGGCACUCCUGAAAAAUUGGGAUCCAGGUGGCAAAGGGAUAGAUGGAUGGCUCCAAGACCAGUCUUAGUUUCCUCGUUUUGCUUUCGAUGGUCUUGUUCAGCGGAACGUCCCGCGACCCUCAUUCUCUUUCCUAUAAUUUCACCAUCAGUCCUUGGCCUGGAUAUGGUCAGCCAUGGUGUGAGGUUCAAGGGGAAGUUGAUCAAAAGGUCUUUCUCUCCUAUGACUGCGGUACAGCUAAGAUUAAGUGCAUGAGUCCAUUGGGAGAGGAGGUGAAACAUAUGAGUACCUGGGAAACACAGACUGUCACACUCAGAGACACUGGAGACUUGCUCAAGGAACAAAUGCCUGACAUUACACCGGAGAAACACACAGACAAGGUGGGAUCAGGCCCUCUGACCCUGCAGGCCAGGAUGACAUGCUCGCUUGAAGACAAUGGACACACCAGUGCUUUCUGGGAGUUUGGCUUCAAUGGACAGCUGUGCCUACUCUUUGAUUCGGAGAAUGGACACUGCACAAUGGUUCAUCCUGGAGGGAGACAGAUGAAAGAGAAAUGGGAGAAUGACAGGGCUGUGACCAACUUUUUCAAGAAGGUCUCCAUGGGAGACUGUCGGGCCUGGCUUCAGGCUUUCUUGGUGGGCUGGGAGAAAAUGCUGAAGACCUCGGCAUCGCCAACCACAGUCCCCACUACAGUGCAGCACACGGCCCCAGCCAGCAACCACAUAACCAAGAUCAUCCUUGGGGUUUUCGCCGUUUUCAUCAUACUAAGCAUCAUAGCCUGGAUCCUUUACAAAAGAGGAGACGGUGCUCUCAGGAAGCCCAACGGGCUCUGUCAGCCUGAGGACUCAGUCUCUGCUUGGACGCCUUUGUUCUCCUGCGUUCACUUUAGAGCCAGGAGAUGAGACCCAGGAAUUCGGAGCCUGCCUUCCAGUUAUGAUGACAAGGUGGCUUCACUGUCUCGUGUCUCUUGUCACAUCUGGUGAACAGCCUCCUCAGUCUCUUUUUUUUCCCUAGCCUAUUUUACCUCUUUCUCUUGGUGCUAAGUGAUGGAAUCCAUGUACUUGAAAUGUUCAACUACUUGAACAAGAAAUCUCCUCAAAUAGGACACUUUCUGUCUUCUAGUUUGUGAAAAAUCAGACUCUUGUCUGUAUUGGCAAUCUCAUUGUUGCAAAUGAUUGAUAAUGGGAGAAAAGUACCAUCGGCUAUUACAGGACUCAGGGAUCUUUGUAUGUUCAGAGAAACAACUUUAGAGUAUUUUCAACAAAUAAAAUAUUAUGCCUGAAUGCCUCUUUUAGUCA